GACGAACGCUGGCGGCGUGCCUAAUACAUGCAAGUCGAACGCUUUUUCUUUCACCGGAGCUUGCUCCACCGAAAGAAAAAGAGUGGCGAACGGGUGAGUAACACGUGGGUAACCUGCCCAUCAGAAGGGGAUAACACUUGGAAACAGGUGCUAAUACCGUAUAACACUAUUUUCCGCAUGGAAGAAAGUUGAAAGGCGCUUUUGCGUCACUGAUGGAUGGACCCGCGGUGCAUUAGCUAGUUGGUGAGGUAACGGCUCACCAAGGCAACGAUGCAUAGCCGACCUGAGAGGGUGAUCGGCCACACUGGAACUGAGACACGGCCCAGACUCCUACGGGAGGCAGCAGUAGGGAAUCUUCGGCAAUGGACGAAAGUCUGACCGAGCAACGCCGCGUGAGUGAAGAAGGUUUUCGGAUCGUAAAACUCUGUUGUUAGAGAAGAACAAGGAUGAGAGUAAAAUGUUCAUCCCUUG
rnacentral:rRNA from 1 species